AAAAGCGCCACGUGGCGCGUCGAGGAUAAUUCUCUCUCUACCCUACUCUCCAUGCUUCUCUCACUACCCUUUCUCUCUCUCUUUUCCUGAAAAGCCUCUCUCCCUCCUCUCUCUACCCUUUCUCUCUCUCUCUCCUCUCCUUCUCUAUCUCCUUCAUCUCUCUACCCCCUUCCCCUUCUCCCUCCUCUCUCUACCCUUUCUCUCUCUCUCUCCUCCCCUUCUCUAUCUCUCUCCUAUCUCUACCCCUCUCUCUUCCCUCAAUGGCAAUAAAAAACAAGUAGGACAAAAUCAAGGGAUCCCGAAAAAUCCGGGAUCACAAUCUGUUGGUCAUCUCUCUACCCCCUUACACCUCUCCCUCCUCUCUCUACCCUUUCUCUCUCUCUCCUCCCCUUCUCUAUCUCUCUCCUAUCUCUACCCCUCUCUCACCCCUCAAUGGCAAAAUCAAGGGAUCCCGAAAAAUCCGGGAUAACAAUCUGUUGGUGAUUUUUGUAAGGAAAAUUUUAAAAUAAUAUAUUUUGUUUAUUGUUUUUAGUGAAUGGAUGUGAUUCUUUGUGAAAGAAUGCAAUCCUUAGUGAAUGGAUGCAACUCUUAGUGAAUGAAUGCAACCCUUAGUGAGUGGAUGCAACUCUAAUCAAAGGGUAUGACUCUUAGAGUGAAAGGAUGUGACUUUUAGUGAAAGAAUAUGAUAUGAAAAGACACAUCUUUAUAGUGUGUCUUUUCGUACAUAUGCCCGUUGGAAUCAAUGGUUAUAUUCAUUGAACUUGAUUCAUAUAACUAUUUGGUAGUUAUGAUCAAAUGAAAAGUCACAAUCGAAAGGUCACUUCACGAAACACCUAUUCAUGAAUAGUCACUUCACGAAACACCCUUUCGUGAAUAGUUACUUCAUGAAGCACCCGUUCGUGGCCUAUAUAAGUCCAUAGCAUUGGUUGCAGAAGGAGACAGACAGAAAACAGUUGAAGAGUUGAAGUCUUCAUUCAUAAUAAUUCCAUUCUUGUUUUAUAUUCUAUUUCUUUUGACAACUUAAUCGAGUGAGUGCUCAAAGGCUCGACUUCGUGUGUGCAAACGCAGUUGAGGUUUACGCUUCAUUGUAUCCUGGGAGGUUGUUCGUUGACCCGGUGCACACCAAAUUGUUAGAACGGUGGGGACGGAUUAAGCCUUAAGGAAAGUGGCAUUGCUACACGCCUUGAAGCCUUUUUAAUCUUUCUAUUUCAUACCUUUAUCAAAAUCUGUUCCAACACCUAUAAGUUAUAGAAUAUUAACUU
rnacentral:lncRNA from 1 species